rnacentral:rRNA from 1 species
CAAUAGCGUAUAUUAAAGUUGUUGCGGUUAAAAAGCUCGUAGUUGGAUUUCUGCCGAGGACGACCGGUCCGCCCUCUGGGUGAGUAUCUGGCUCGGCCUGGGCAUCUUCUUGGAGAACGUAGCUGCACUUGACUGUGUGGUGCGGUAUCCAGGACUUUUACUUUGAGGAAAUUAGAGUGUUUCAAGCAGGCUUACGCCUUGAAUACAUUAGCAUGGAAUAAUAAGAUAGGACCUCGGUUCUAUUUUGUUGGUUUCUAGAGCUGAGGUAAUGAUUAAUAGGGAUAGUUGGGGGCAUUCGUAUUUAACUGUCAGAGGUGAAAUUCUUGGAUUUGUUAAAGGCGGACUACUGCGAAAGCAUUUGCCAAGGAUGUUUNCAUUGA